GAUGAACGCUAGCGGCAGGCCUAAUACAUGCAAGUCGAACGGCAGCGCGGGAGCAAUCCUGGCGGCGAGUGGCGAACGGGUGAGUAACAUAUCGGAACGUGCCUUAGAGUGGGGAUAACUAGUCGAAAGACUAGCUAAUACCGCAUACGAUCUACGGAUGAAAGUGGGGGAUCGCAAGACCUCAUGCUCUUAGAGCGGCCGAUAUCUGAUUAGCUAGUUGGUGGGGUAAAGGCCUACCAAGGCGACGAUCAGUAGCUGGUCUGAGAGGACGACCAGCCACACUGGGACUGAGACACGGCCCAGACUCCUACGGGAGGCAGCAGUGGGGAAUUUUGGACAAUGGGGGCAACCCUGAUCCAGCAAUGCCGCGUGAGUGAAGAAGGCCUUCGGGUUGUAAAGCUCUUUUGUUCGGAAAGAAAUCGCCCUGGUUAAUACCUGGGGUGGAUGACGGUACCGGAAGAAUAAGCACCGGCUAACUACGUGCCAGCCGCCGCAGUAA
rnacentral:rRNA from 1 species